rnacentral:tRNA from 1 species
AGUCUUAUAUUCAAUGUAAUGAUAAUAGAAUGCAAUUCUAUGGGAGUAAAUAAAAUUUGCUAAGACUU